GACAGAGGUGCCAAGCGUUAGGCGGAAUCACUGGGCUUAAAGCGUGUGUAGGCGGAUUCCUAAGUACCUUGUGAAAUCCCACGGCUCAACCGUGGAACUGCUCGGUAUACUGGGUAUCUUGAGCCACUUAGGGGCGACCGGAACAAAUGGUGGAGCGGUGAAAUGCGCAGAUAUCAUUUGGAACGCCAAUGGUGAAAACAGGUCGCUGGGAGUGUGCUGACGCUGAGACAGAAGCCAGGGGAGCAAACGGG
rnacentral:rRNA from 1 species